UACGUAGGCAGCGAGCGUUGUUCGGAGUUACUGGGCGUAAAGGGUGUGUAGGCGGUUUUCUAAGUUUGGUGUGAAAUCUCCCGGCUCAACCGGGAGGGUGCGCCGAAAACUGGGAGACUAGAGUGCGGGAUAGGAGAGUAGAAUUCCUGGUGUAGCGGUGAAAUGCGUAGAUAUCAGGAGGAAUACCGGUGGUGUAGACGGCUCUCUGGACCGCCACUGACGCUGAGACACGAAAGCGUGGGUAGCAAACAGG
rnacentral:rRNA from 1 species